rnacentral:rRNA from 1 species
UACGUAGGGUGCGAGCGUUAAUCGGAAUUACUGGGCGUAAAGUGUGCGCAGGUGGCCGCGCAAGUCGAGUGUGAAAUCCCCGAGCUUAACUUGGGAAUUGCGCUCGAAACUACGUGGCUCGAGUGUGGCAGAGGAAGGUGGAAUUCCACGUGUAGCGGUGAAAUGCGCAGAUAUCAGGAGGAACACCGGUGGCGAAGGCGGUUCUCUGGGCAUGUCCUGACGCUGAGGAGCGAAAGUGUGGGGAGCGAACAGG